UCCUGAGUCUCGUGCAAAGAAAGUGUUCUUGUCUUCUUGAUUCGCUCAGCAGUCAGCACUUGGUCAUCAGUCACUCGGUCGCGCCAUUAAUCCGAGCUGGCAAGCUACUAGCACGGCCAUUAUUCCAUUUGCUUGCUAGUUUCCCACUGCCCCUGGAAGAAGAAGCCGCGCCGCCGUCACAAGCAUGCAGGGGAAGGACGCCGCCGAGGACGUCGUGAUCGUGGGCGCCGGGAUGGCCGGCCUCGCGGCGGCUCUCGGAUUGCACAGGAAAGGGGUGAGGAGCCUGGUGCUGGAGUCGUCGCCGUCGCUGCGGACGUCGGGGUUCGCGUUCACGACGUGGAAGAACGCCUUCCGGGCGCUCGACGCCCUCGGGGUGGGCGACAAGAUCAGGGAGCAGCAUCUGCAGGCCCAGAGGAAAGGGGUGAGGAGCCUGGUGCUAGAGUCGUCGCCGAUGCUGCGCGCGUCGGGGUUCGCGUUCACGACAUGGACGAACGCCUUCCGCGCACUCGAUAGCCUCGGCGUUGGGGACAAGAUCCGGGAGCACCAUUUGCUUUACGAGAGGAUGAUUACCUUCUCUGCUGCCACUGGCGAACCUGCUGCGAAAGUAAGCCUCAAGAUGCAGGCGAAAAGCGGGCCACACGAAAUCCGGUGCGUGAAGCGGGACUUCCUGCUGCAGACGCUCGAGAACGAGCUGCCCAAGGGCACCAUCCGGUACUCGUCCAAGAUCGUCGCCAUCGAGGAAGACGGCAACGCCACGGUCCUGCACUUGGCUGACGGUUCCAUCAUAAAGACCAAGGUUCUGAUCGGGUGCGACGGCGUGAACUCCGUGGUGGCGAAAUGGCUGGGCCUUCCGAAGCCGAUCCUCUCGGGGCGCUCCGCCACCAGGGGCCUCGCCGAGUACCCGGCCGGCCACUGCUUCGGCCCCGAGAUCCUGCAGUUCAUCGGCCAGGGCUUCCGCUCCGGCGUCCUGCCCUGCUCCGACACCUCCGUCUACUGGAACUACACCUGGUACCCUUCCCCCGCCGACGGGGACGCCGAGGAGAGCGUGGCCAAGAUGCGGAGCCACGUGCUGGGCAAGCUGCGGGCGGCCAAGAUCCCGGCAGCGGCGCUGGACGCGAUCGAGCGGAGCGAGAUGAGCGACGUGGUGUCGUCGCCGCUGCGGUUCCGGUCGCCGCUCGCGCUCCUCCGCGGCAGCAUCAGCCGGGGCGGCGUGUGCGUGGCGGGGGACGCGCUCCACCCGAUGACGCCCGAGCUCGGGCAGGGCGGGUGCGCCGCGCUCGAGGACGGCGUCGUCCUGGCCCGGUGCCUGGGCGAGGCCUUCGCGGCGGCCGGGAGCGGCGGCGGCGGCCACGAUGGGGUCAUCAGGGCGGCACUUGAAAAGUACGCGGAGGCCAGGCGGUGGCGGAGCAUCCAGCUCAUCACGGCGGCCUACGUCGUCGGCUUCAUCCAGCAGAGCAACAACGUCGUCGUCAAGUUCCUCAGGGACACCUUCCUGUCGCCGUUGCUGGCCAAGACUCUAGUCGCCAUGGCUGACUACGACUGUGGAACGCUAUAAUUCUGCUGCUCCUAGCUAAACAAGGGAACCGCCGCCAUUUUUUUCCCCUCAAAGGACGACAAAAGCUUUGCCACAAGUUUCGCUACAAGAAGAAAGCAAACAAAUAAAAUGUUGGACGCAGCCAUUAGAGUACCAAGCAAGCACUGAAUUUUUAUGUGAUAUCAACCAAAUCAUGAGCAGAUUAUUAUGUGAAUAUCUAAACCAUGUCCGGGCAUUUUAUUUGCCCCCACACCUGAAUUUUGCCAUCUCUUUUCUUCCUACUUAGCAAGGAUGGAGGAAAGGAAACAAAGUUUGAGUGUUAAAUGGCCAUUAACAUCAAAAUUUCUAGUUAGUCAUUUUAUACCGAACACAUUAGAGUCAUGGUGAUUUUUUUAUGUGUAAUGUCUAUGCUGAUUUGGUGUAACUAUAAAUUCGGGCUUGGAGCUAUCUCAAAAAUAUUUGAAUUUUGCAA